rnacentral:siRNA from 1 species
AGGGUGCAGAUAUAUUGUAGG